rnacentral:lncRNA from 1 species
AUUGGUGCCACUGAAGCUUGGGCCCGAUUGAACAUAGCCCUUUCCUAGAAUGAUAGAGAUAUGAGAAGCCUCUCUUCCUUUUCAAUCAAGCUACCAAAAUCCAAAUAUUACUAGUUGAAUAAAAUAUGUGUUCACUAUGUAUCUCUUCAUCCAUAUUUCCAAGUAAAAUUAGAAAUCCCACAAUCUAAUUUUACUUUUUUGUAACUUUUUGUUUCAUCAUGUUGGUUUUUCCAAGCAUUUUGUUUCAUAUAAUGACUGACAAACCCUAACUUUCAUUAUGUUGGUUUUUUCUAUCUUCCAAGUUCCAAUCCUUUCAAAAUCUUGGGAAAAAAGAACUUGGGAUCCCAUAGAUUAUUUAUCCCCUCUUUCUUGGCUUUUGUUUUUGGUAAAGAGGUAACUCCUUUCCUAUCCAACCAGUUUCAUGGUUGCUUUUUUCUCCUUUACCAAGCAUAGUGUGUUUAGGGUUUCAAUGAUCUUUCUGCAUGAACUUAAUGAAAAGUCACGAUUCACGUGAGUAAUGGUCCUAAUCGAAUUCCUGUUUGGAGCUCUGUUGGUGUCAGGGGGUGUUUAUGGAACAAAGCUUUACAAGUUUCUUUAUGUCAAGUCGAAAAAGCCCAAUUAAAUGCAAAUGGCUGUCAAGCCAUGCACCGAAUGGAUUGAUUGAUAUGGGCCGUGGUUGGUAGUCGGUAUAAAUAAGCCUCUUCUCCAUCACAUCCUGCUCCCAUUUAAGGUGGCCUUAAAUAGACUUCAAUGACACGAGAACUACCAUGCGUUUGAAAGCAGAUGGUGUCUCACUCCAAUAUAAAAUUACUACUAAAUUUUCAAGGUACAUGUUGCCAACUUUUCCCAAUAUAACAUGUCUGAUUGUCUGAUAAUAAGUAAAAAUAUGGGUGCAUCUUAAUCGUCCUUUUAUUAAAAAAGGUGAAUUCUUUAAUUUAAAUUGUUGAAAAUUUCGUAAGAACACAUUUCUUAUAAUAAUUAAAAAAAGAACCAUCAUCCAUUGUUUUUAUGGGGAUUCUCUAGUAAUAAAGAAGAACAAUUCAUGAUUGAGAUCUUAAAAUUGUUACCACUAAAAAAAAACAUUAUGUGAUAGAUUGCUUUCAUCCCUAGGACAAGAAAAAAUGCCAAGAGUGAAAUGUGGGAUAUGCAUAUGGGCGUGAAGCACAAUCAAUGCAAAAAACGACACAAAGCUCAAGUUGAAAUGAAGACAGCAGACACCAACUUCAAUACUCUUUUUCUCAUCACAAUUUUCGUGUAAAUUAAAUUUUUCUCGGAAAAUGAGGGUCUCCUUGUUGCUUAGGGUUGGGUAAUUAUCUCACUAAUUACCAAACUAAGCAUUAAUUAGUUUCUAGGGAAACAUAUGUUAUUAUUGAUUUCCUCCAAAUUUGACAAGUUAAAGCCUGCAGGGUGUUUGUUUCUUUGUCUGGAACAGUAGUCUGUUCAAGUGUAGCCAAGCACGGUCUAAAACCAGUGAGCCUAUUUGCCGAUGUAGUCUUGUGGCACCCUUGAUUGAUUUGUUUUGACCUAAAUCAUUGCCAUCCACUUAUUUAUUUAUUUAUAUUUAAAAAGCCAAGCACUUAUUUUAUUUUUGUAUGGUGAUUGCCAUGACAUCCACUUACUUGACUCUCUCAAUGGAUAUCACAUGGCUGAUGGCACCCUAAGAAAACAAGAUUAUAAUUCAAAUGUCAUUGUCAGAGAGAAGAGAAAGUUAAAAAUUUUAGAUUUAUGUAAAAAUAAUAAUAAUUCAAGAGGUAUUGUGAAAACGAAAAAAAACUCAUGAGAUGUUAAUGUAAAUAACUCGAUGACAAAAACUUGAGAAACCAAUUUCAUCUAGUCUGCUUAAUGAAAUUUUCCAUUCAUAUCUUUAUCCUAAAGUUUUUAAAAAGAUUAUAUAUAUAUAUAUAUAUAUAUAUAUAUGUGUGUAACUUCUUCACCUCUAAUUUUGAACUGGUGGAAAUUCUUAUUUCUUUUAACAUUUUUUUCUUUUCAAUAAGGUCUAAGGGACAUUUGCCUCAUCACAAUUCAAAGAAAAGAAAAACAAAAAAGAUGACAUGGUUGGUGGUGCAUAUGAUUGCGCCAAGACAUAUAUAUAUAUAUAUAUAUAUAUAUAUAUAUAUAUAUAUAUAUAGCGAUGGCCGUAUUAGUAUAAAACUUGAUUUGCUAAUGUAAUCAAUCAUCCUAAAUGAUUAAAUUAAGCACAUUAUCUGCCAUUGCUUGUCGAGGUGAGCUAUUAAAAUAAUUGAGUGGCACGAGGUUUAGAAGCUUCGCCGCUUGGGCAAGAAUCUUGCCUCAGAGAUUGAAGAGGCAUCUAUGCUGAGCCAAAAGACUCUCGAACCAUGGAACGUUGACUAAUUUUCCACCUAUUUACUGCCUUUAAGUUUAACUUUUUUUUUCUUUUUCUUUUUUCUUCCAAAUUAAGAGACCUAAAAGUUAAUUUCUCCAUAUUAUACUAAAUGGUGUAUCUAUUUCCCCUUUAAAAGAAGCCAACUAAGUUGAGUCUAAAGAUUUUUGUUUAAUAUAUCAUAAUCUGUCUUUUGGUUAGUCUAUUGGGAAUAUUUUAGAGCUCUAUGUUUAUGUAUAGUAAUAUACCUCCUAUGUAUGUGUCCUUCCACUAAUUAAAGUAAAACUUACAUUUGAUAUAGGAAUAAUUCUCUGGUGCGAGACAAUGACAUGUUAUGUUAUGAAGAAUACUAUCAUAAUAAAUCGCAUAUUCAAACAAGAGUCUAACUGCGUAAUUAACGGUUCAAAUUAUACAAUUGCGCGCAUAACAGUUUUGUAACUACUCCUUCCUUAUUUGGUACUGUGCUAUAUAUAAAUAGCAACCAUUAGAUUGUCACUUGAAGAUUGCACUAAUAAGACAUGCACAUAACAACCAAAAACCAGUAUGGAGAAGAUAUAUAUAGGAUUGGGUUUAGCUUGUGUUGUUCUUAUCCGGCUUUGGAUUUAACCUUGAGCUGUUCCUUUACACCACUGAAAAAAUACUGACAUUCUAUCCUAUAUCACCCUAAGAAUAUAUGUCAUCUUCUUGUUUUUUCCUACAACACCUAGCAAAUGUGCAGAAGAGAGAAAUUCAAAUUAUUAUAUGGGCAGGGAUAUGAUGAUAAGGUCCCAAAAAAAGAGGAAAAAUAGGAGAGCAAGCAAAAUUAUCUAUCUGAAAUUAUUUUGGACACCAGAAAGCUGAAUAUGGCAAUUGCAGGUGGCUUGUUUUUUCUCUUCUUAAACUUGUACUUAAGUGACUCUCAAAACCAUGUUCAUGUUCUCAACAAACAAAAUGAACACAAUUUUACAGUGUUUUUUUAUUUGGGGUUCCGACGAUUAAUGAUUAAAUUGUGCAGGUGCAAGGAAAUGAGUGUUAGGACCACGCCAAACUUCAGAGCUGGAAUUGUAGCUAUCAUUGAUAAUGACCCUCCAUUUCAAGCAAUUCAAAAUCAACGGCCCUGAUUGCUUCCAAUUCCGGAGCUGGUACUCCCAUGUGGAUUACACACAGUGAUAGUGGUGGAUGUUUGCUCAAUCACAAUGUCUACACUUGUUGAAGUGUGGUCAGUUGCAGAAGAUCAUCUCUGCAAAUUUGUGUUACAUCGUUUUUUUAGGACUGAACAAAAUAUUAUAUACUUUUAAAAAAAAGAAAGAGAUAAAAAGCCAUAAGUUGCUGCUGCCCACAUGGAGCUUAGUAUAUUUCAU